AUUGAACGCUGGCGGCAGGCCUAACACAUGCAAGUCGAGCGAGCGGAGGACGGGUGAGUACUGUAUGGAGAUCUGCCCGAUCGAGGAGGAUAACUACUGGAAACGGUUGCUAAUACCGCAUACUAUCGGAUGAAACCCUAUUGGAUUAGCUAGUAGGUGGGGUAAAGGCUCACCUAGGCGACGAUCUCUAGCUGGGCUGAGAGGAUGAUCAGCCACACUGGGACUGAGACACGGCCCAGACUCCUACGGGAGGCAGCAGUGGGGAAUAUUGCACAAUGGGCGCAAGCCUGAGGCAGCAAUGCCGCGUGUAUGAAGAAGGCCUGAGGGUUGUAAAGUACUUUCAGCGGGGAGGCGUUACCCGCAGAAGAAGCACCGGCUAACUCCGUGCCAGCAGCCGCGGUAAUAC
rnacentral:rRNA from 1 species